UGACGGCGCGAGCAGGUGCGAAAGCAGGUCAUAGUGAUCCGGUGGUUCUGAAUGGAAGGGCCAUCGCUCAACGGAUAAAAGGUACUCCGGGGAUAACAGGCUGAUACCGCCCAAGAGUUCAUAUCGACGGCGGUGUUUGGCACCUCGAUGUCGGCUCAUCACAUCCUGGGGCUGAAGUAGGUCCCAAGGGUAUGGCUGUUCGCCAUUUAAAGUGGUACGCGAGCUGGGUUUAGAACGUCGUGAGACAGUUCGGUCCCUAUCUGCCGUGGGCGCUGGAGAACUGAGGGGGGCUGCUCCUAGUACGAGAGGACCGGAGUGGACGCAUCACUGGUGUUCGGGUUGUCAUGCCAAUGGCACUGCCCGGUAGCUAAAUGCGGAAGAGAUAAGUGCUGAAAGCAUCUAAGCACGAAACUUGCCCCGAGAUGAGUUCUCCCUGAGACUUAAAGUCUCCUGAAGGAACGUUGAAGACGACGACGUUGAUAGGCCGGGUGUGUAAGCGCAGCGAUGCGUUGAGCUAACCGGUACUAAUGAACCGUGAGGCUUAACCUUACAAC
rnacentral:rRNA from 1 species